UGACUAUUUUCUCUUGCCUU
rnacentral:siRNA from 1 species